rnacentral:rRNA from 1 species
GACGAACGCUGGCGGCGUGCUUAACACAUGCAAGUCGAACGGAAAGGCCCUGCUUUUGUGGGGUGCUCGAGUGGCGAACGGGUGAGUAACACGUGAGUAACCUGCCCUUGACUUUGGGAUAACUUCAGGAAACUGGGGCUAAUACCGGAUAGGAGCUCCUGCUGCAUGGUGGGGGUUGGAAAGUUUCGGCGGUUGGGGAUGGACUCGCGGCUUAUCAGCUUGUUGGUGGGGUAGUGGCUUACCAAGGCUUUGACGGGUAGCCGGCCUGAGAGGGUGACCGGCCACAUUGGGACUGAGAUACGGCCCAGCCCCCUACGGGGGGGAGCAGGGGGGAAUUUUGCACAAGGGGCGGAACCCUGAUGCAGAAACGCCGGGGGCGGGAGGACGGCCUUCGGGUGGUAAACCGCUUUCGCCUGUGACGAAGCGUGAGGGGCGGGAAUGGGUAAAGAAGCCCCGGCUAACUACGU